rnacentral:rRNA from 1 species
UCGAGAAUUUUUCUCAAUGGGGGAAACCCUGAAGGAGCGACGCCGCGUGGGGGAUGAAUGGCUUCGGCCCGUAAACCCCUGUCAUUUGCGAUCAAACCUUACGACCUAACACGUCGUGAGCUGAUAGUAGCGGAAGAGGAAGGGACGGCUAACUCUGUGCCAGCAGCCGCGGUAAUACAGAGGUCCCAAGCGUUGUUCGGAUUCACUGGGCGUAAAGGGUGCGUAGGCGGUCGGGUAAGUCUGACGUGAAAUCUUCAAGCUCAACUUGGAAACUGCGUCGGAUACUAUUCGGCUAGAGGAAUGGAGGGGAGACUGGAAUACUUGGUGUAGCAGUGAAAUGCGUAGAUAUCAAGUGGAACACCAGUGGCGAAGGCGAGUCUCUGGACAUUUCCUGACGCUG